UUCAUUUUCCCUCGAUAGACCCCAAAUUCAAAACCUUCCUUCCUCCCUCUAGGCUUCUAUUCCAUUCCUUGAAGCAAGUUCCCAUGGCAUUCCUGUAAAUUCAAAGAGAAUCAGCGGCAGAUUCAGAGUCAGAUAUAAACGCCUUCAGCGAAAGGAUUGUCACCAUUGACCACUACAUGGCUCUGCCGAUCCAUGGCCUUCGUCUCUCUUAUAGUACCUUCCAAGGUGGGAAAGUGAGUGAGGUUCCUGUUAUAAGAAUAUAUGUUUCUACAGUGUCUGGUCAGAAGACUUGCUUGCACGUCCAAGGGGUGAUGCAUACACACAUGCUGUAUCUCUUGCUCUUGAGAAAGCUUUGAAGGUAUGCUUGGUUGCAACAGCUUAAAGGUAAUGCUGGUUCAAAGCAACAGCAUGUAUGUGGUUGCAGCCUUGUCUGAGCAAGGAAAUUUUAUGGUUACCAUUCAUCUGAAGAGCUGUUUGUGAAAAUAGAUUUGUAUCCAAACAUUAUACUAUCUCUCUUAGAGUUCUCUCAUAUUCAUAUAAUAGUUAAGAGUAUGUUUCUUGAACACCUUGACAAAGAUAUAGCUAUUAUCCACAUGUUGUCUC